rnacentral:rRNA from 1 species
UACAGAGGGUGCGAGCGUUGUCCGGAAUCACUGGGCGUAAAGGGCGCGUAGGCGGCUUGAUAAGCGUGUGGUGAAAGCUCGGGGCUCAACCCGGGACGUCCGGCGUGGACGACUCGUGGCUGGAGCACUGUAGAGGCGGGUGGAAUUCCGGGUGUAGCGGUGGAAUGCGUAGAGAUCCGGAAGAACACCAGUGGCGAAGGCGGCCCGUCUGGGCAGUGGCUGACGCUGAAGCGCGACAGCGUGGGGAGCAAG